rnacentral:rRNA from 1 species
UACGUAGGGGGCAAGCGUUGUCCGGAAUCAUUGGGCGUAAAGCGCGUGUAGGCGGCCCGGUAAGUCCGCUGUGAAAGUCCAGGGCUCAACCCUGGGAUGCCGGUGGAUACUGUCGGGCUCGAGUCCGGAAGAGGCGAGUGGAAUUCCUGGUGUAGCGGUGAAAUGCGCAGAGAUCGGAAAGAACACCAACGGCGAAAGCACUCUGCUGGGCCGACACUGACACUGAGAGACGAAAGCUAGGGGAGCGAAUGGG